rnacentral:lncRNA from 1 species
GAAGGAGAUUACUGCUGCCCACGGGGAAAAAGGAGAACAGAAAUGGGAAAGCCGUAUUGAGAGGAUGUUUGAGAACUGUGAAAGACAGAAAGCAGACCAGAUUGCCAUGCCUAAACCACUUUCUUUGAAGUUUAUGGAAGCACCACUGCAUUUAUGCCAGAAGGUGAAAGUCCAGAACAGGUGCUUUUUGGUUUGAGAAUGAGUGUUCUACAUACUGGCCUGUAAGGCAGUGCUACUCCAAGUGUGGUCCACAGGCUGGCAGCAACAUCAUAGGGGAGUAUGUUAACAAUGCUGAUUCUCCAGCCCCAGCUCCGGACUCUGUUUUAACGGUCUAUCCAGGCAUGAAUUCUACUCAAGUGGCCUGCCCCUCAGCAGAAGUUGGACAGGUGCUUAUGUUGCAAUUAACAAAAAGGAUACAUGCUGGGUCCUGCAGUAAAUGUCUCCCUUGGAUCAUGAAGUCUUUUUACCAUGUUACUGGAACACAGAAGAUGAACAAACUGAAGCUAAAGAGAAGUAUUAUGUGUGCAAUGGCAUACAACCAUCUGAAAUGGAAAAAUAGAUUGUGUUCCUAUGAGCUUCCAUAAUACCAUGUGACUUCUCUGACAUAUGGAGGGUUUUGAGCCUGGGAAU